rnacentral:rRNA from 1 species
GUCUUUUUGAUUAAUAAUUUAAAGUCUAAUCUGCCCACUGAUGGAUAUAUUAAAGGGCUGCAGUAUUUUGACUGUACAAAGGUAGCAUAAUCAUUAGUCUCUUAAUUGGUGACUUGUAUGAAAGAUUUCAUGAAAUAUAUACUGUCUUUUAUUAAUUUAUAUAAUUUAAUUUUUUAGUUAAAAAGCUAAGAUAUAUUUAAAAGACGAGAAGACCCUAUAGAGUUUUAUAUUUAAAUAAGUUAAAAUUUUAUAUAAAAUUUAUAAUUUUAAUUUAUUUAAAUAUUUUAUUGGGGUGAUAGAAAAAUUAAAAUAACUUUUUAUAUAAAUUUUCAUUUAUAGAUGAGUAAAUGAUCCGUAAUUUACGAUUAAAAGAAAAAAUUACCUUAGGGAUAACAGCGUAAUUUUUUUUUUUAGUUCAAAUAAUAAAAAAAGUUUGCGACCUCGAUGUUGGAUUAAGAUAAAAUUUAAAUGCAAAAGUUUAAAAUUUUUGAUCUGUUCGAUCAUUAAAAUCUUACA